rnacentral:tRNA from 1 species
GCAGUCGUGGCCGAGUGGUUAAGGCGAUGGACUCGAAAUCCAUUGGGGUCUCCUCGCAUAGGUUCUAAUCCUGUCGGCUGCG